rnacentral:lncRNA from 1 species
UGUCGCUGAGGAACACAUUUAAUAACACUUCAGAACUGAACUGAAACGUGGCACAAACAUGACAACUUCCAGGGACAAAUCUGAUGCUUUCCUCAAACCACAUUAAGCUUCCAGUUCAAAUCCCAAGCCAACCUUGUGACCUCCUGCACUGAAGUUCUUCCCAUCGAUUAAAGCUGAUAAAGUCAAUUUGACUCCUAGGAAGAAGAAAACACCACAAUCACUUGAAACAAGUAUUACAAUUAGAUCUGAACUUUCUAGAAACAACAGAUGGAAUCAAUGGUGUGGAUUGUAGCUGGGUAUACGAGCUAUAAGCAAACAGCUAUUACUCAAUCGGUUAUUUAUAACUAUCUGAUGUGUAAUGAGGAAAGCAUGAUCAUGGCAAACUUUCUCUGAAGUUCAGGGUUAAGGGCAAUGAGUGAUCAACCAAACUCAAAGGCCAAAGUGACCACAUUAUAGUCAGAAAUACAUACUUUUUUAAUGCAAAAGUAUUUGAUCUGUAUUGUUUUCUGUCUGAACAACCAAAUGUUACAAAAUGGUCCAAAUCAACUUACAGUGACUACAGGUUGUUCUGCAGGUUAUUUUCAUUGUUUUCUCUAUCACCUUCCACCUCAACCCCUCUGUUACUAAUUCCUUUACUUACCUGGUCGAAGGGUCUGAGUAUAACCCAGUCCAAUCAGGCUGGCAUUAUUUACUUUAGCCUAAGAUUAAGAGAUAGAAUAAUAACAGAAAACAGUGAAUUACAGAUCAGUCCAAUAUAACCAUCACUUUGUGCAUUAGGUUUCCAAUGCUAAAAGCACCCUAGGGCCAAUCUAGAAUUACUGAUUUUUUUUUUUUUUUUUUUUGAGAUGAAGUUUUGUUCUUGUCACCCAGGCUGCAGUGCGAUGGCACGAUCUCGGCUCACUGCAACCUCCGCUUCCCGGGUCCAAGCCAUUCUCCUGCCUCAGCCUCCCAAGUAGCUGGGAUUACAGGCAUGCGCCCCCAUGCCCGGCUAAUUUUGUAUUUUUAGUAGAGACGGGGUUUCACCAUGUUGGCCAGGCUGGUCUCAAACUCCUGACCUCAGGUGAUCCCCUGCCUCAGCCUCCCAAAGUGCUGGGAUUACAGGCGUGACCCACCGUGCCCAGCCGGAAUUACUGAUUAAGAAGUCAGUAGGACUUGUAGGGGUAGGACGUACCCUGAGAAUGCAUGCUUCAAGGCCUCAAGCAAAAUUUUUAAACACUACACAACCAAACACCCUGAAUUCUCUGAGAUACCAGCUGACAAUCUCUCACAGUGGUUACGGCAUGAACUUGGGUGACAGAAAAACAGACCUAGGUUCAAUUGUGGCACUGCCAGUUACUAUGUGACCUUAGGCAAGUUAGCUGACCUUUCUAAGGCUCAGUUUUCUCAUCUGUAAAACAGGGAUGAGGAUAACACUAAUCGCCACAUGGAGUGGUUGUGAGCGUUAAAUGACAUAAUAUACAUAAAGCCCUUAGCACAGUACAUGAAAUUUAACAGCUCAGUGUUAUUUUUAGUAAGAGUUACUAUAGCAACAGAAAUAGUCAUCUAAUCCCAUGAAUUUCCAAAUAAGAAAAUUCUGAGGCCAAAGUGAUAAAAUGACAAGGUCAGACAACAGAUAUACAGGAAGAGCUAGGACUAGAAGAACCCCUAUUUCCUGACGUCAAGCAUAAUUUUUUUUUUUUUUUUUUUUGAGAUAGGCUCUCGCUCUGUCACCCAGGCUGGAGUGCAAUGGUGUGAUCUUGGCUCACUGCAACCUCUCCAUCUGCAGGGUUCAAGCAAUUCUCCUGCCUCAGCCUCCCUAGUAGCUGGGACUACAGGCGUCACCUACCACGCCCACCUAAUUUUUGUAUUUUUAGUAAAGACAGGGUUUCACCUUGUUGGCUAGGCUGGUCUUGAACUCCUGACCUCAGGUGAUUCAUGCACCUUGGCCUCCCAAAGUGCUGGGAAUACAGGCGUGAGCCUGGCCACAUUAUAUUCCUUUCACUACACAAUGAGCUGGCUUAUUAAAAUUAAUAAAGAACAAGCAAACUACACUCAUAUCACAACAUUCUCUGAAAACUUAGACACAAACAUAAGAGCAGAUCCAAUCUGGCAGCACAUUCUUACAGAGAGAGAAGUUCUACAAUCCAGCAUGUACUUAGCAGCAAUGCCAAAACGGGUGUUGUUACUCCCAGCUGUCCAA